rnacentral:lncRNA from 1 species
UGACUGCCUGGUAAAUAGAGAACUCAAUAAAUAUUUGUUGAAUAAAUAAAUGAAUUGUGGGAUGGUUACAUUGCUGCCUUUAGCUAGGUCACAUGAUUGGCAUCAGACACCACACAAAGGAGCCCUGUUGUUUAAGGACUGGUCAAAAGUGUAGAUCCAGCCUAACAUAAGCAUUUCAAGAUCCUCAGGCUUUGACUUUUUGCCUCAUUGGAGAAAAUGCCCUCUGAAAAGUGCCGUCAGGCUCCGCUGGAUUCGUGCAUGAGAGAGCAAGAAGCUUCAGAAGUACAGCCUUUUCACUCUGCUACUUGGAUACGGCCCCUAAGCAACUUGGCUGCUCUUCCCAACCUUUCCCUCUUAUCUGAUUUGUAAAGGCUAGCUGAAGGCAUUUUUGUUUUAAGAGUUUUUACAUCUAAUUAAUGUUGGAAAACAAAAAUAAUAAAUCUGAAACCUAACCUUGAGGAAGUUAAAAAUGUUGCAAAAUUUUACAAAACCCUUUUCCUGUGAUUAUAUUGUUUGUUUUGUUUUUGAGACAGGGUCUUGCUCUGUCACCCAGGCUGUAGGGCAAUGGUGCAGUCUUGGCUCACUGCAGCUUCAACCUCCCAGACUCAGUGAUCCUCCCGCCUCAGCCUCCUAACUGGGCAUUUUAUACCAUAAAACAGCUGUUGAUGCAAUCAUUUAAAAUUACAAAUCAAACCACUUCAUUCUCCUAUUUAAAGGCCUCCAUUUUAUGCUGUAAUAAUUUAUCUUGAAAUGCUUAUGGAAGGCUGGACUUACACUUUUGAUAAGUCCUUAAACAACAGGUGUGCUCCACCAUGCCCAGCUAAUUUGUUUGUUUGUUUGUUUGUUUUUCAGAGAUGAGUUCUUCCUAUGUUUCCCAGGCUGCUCUCCAACUCCUGGGCACAAGUGACCCUCCUGCCUUGGCCUCCUAAAUUGCUAGGAUUGCAGGCAUGAGCCACCGUGCCUGGCCUCCAUUCUAUUAUUAUUAAUUAUUUGUAAACUACUAAAUGGAAACCACAGUAAGGUUUUCCUCACUAAGUUACUCCUUUGAGGGCAGGGGCUACUAACACCCGCUUUGAAACACCAUCCUUCUGAGGUCCUCUGGGAUUUUUUCCUGAAUGGUGGCCCUUGUUGCCAUCUUAAAGAUCUAGUCAAGAUAAAACAUGUUCCUCUGGACAACCUGAAUGGAGGGAGCAGCUUCAUACCCGGGCCUGACAACCUUGCACAUAUCCACAUAGGCCACAUAGGCAAUGCCUGAACCACAGCUGAUCUGAGUCUUGGCAGAACACCUUGGGAUCUUCCCAGAAGAUGAGUGCAUGAGAGGCUUGUAAGCAGCUAGUGCAAGGCCAUUUCCCACUCAGCUCUCUGUCUUCCAAAGAGACUAUCAUGAGGCAGUUUCUAUUGCUUCCUGGGUUCCAACGAGCCAUUCUGCCUUACCCUCUUAGAGUACAGCUGCAGGUUAUAACAAGGCUUAGCUGCAGCAUGGCAUUAACCCCUCAGCAACAAGGUGUCCACAGUGUAUGCUGUAGUCAUCCAGCCCCUUCUGUUUUGGUGUCAUCAUUUUGGUAUCUGAGACAAAAGCUCAUGGAGAGCUGGCACUUGCUUUUGCUUUCAAUGUCUGUGCAAAUAAUAAUAUGUCUAAAUUCAAAAAGGGUUCAUUUCUUUACCAGCCAAAUCUUUCAACCUUGCCUUGAUACCAAACAUCUGAUUCAUUAAUUAAUGGUAAAACGAACAAAAUGACCAGACAGAUACUACCUGGGUACCAGAGAUAAUAGAGAUGAAUAAAAUGAAGUCAUGAUUCCGUCUUUGUUUUUCCCUUUAAAAGAGAUGAGAUCUCACUCUGUUGCCCAGGCUGGAGUGCAGUGGCAUAAUCACAGCUUGCUGCAGCCUGGAACUCCUGGUAGGGAUCCUCCCGCCUCAGCCUUCUAAAACGCUAGGAGUACAGUUGUGAGCCACCAUGUCCAGUUUGAUUCCUUCUUUUAACAUUACCAUCUUGUUAAGGAAAUAAACAACAACAACAGAAAAAAACAAGUAUUCACAAGGCAGUGUAGAAGUGCUACAGUAGAGAAAAGCAGAAGGCCUGUAAGGGCUCCUAAAUGAGAUAGUGUGCUAAGAGGGAAGGGAGGCACCCUGAAAUGGAGGAAGCCAGCCAGAAAAGUUUUCAGGCUGGGCAUAGUGGCCUGCACCUUUGGUCCCAGGUACUCAGGAGACUGAGGUGGGAGGAUUUCUUGAACCUGAGGGGUUGAGGAUGCAGUGAGCUCUGAUCGCAUCACUGUACUUAAGCCUUGUGGACAGAGUGAGAUCCUGAUCAAAAAAAAAAAAAAAGUGUUCACACUGGAAGGAAAGCAUAGACCUUCAGAUUUGGUGUUAUCAGAUUCCAUCCAAGACUGAUUUUUUUUCCAGGCUUUGGAGCUCUCAGUCCCCUUCAGCUCAAAAGUAUCUCCCUCUGGGCACUUUAAGUACAUUGCUUAAAGAUUCCAUUUUAGCUAGUAAGUAUACAGUAUGAGGAGUCUUUUGAUUGCAAGUGACUGAAAACCUAAUAGGCAAGCAUCGUUAGCUUCCCACACAAAGUGCUUUCCCUUGCUUCUAAUACACUCCUGAUUUUUUUGGAUGGAGAGGGGGAACAGUGUGCCCAGCUGUAAGCAAUAAAGUGUAAUUGAGCUAAGCUAUCCAUGACCAUUCUGCUUCCCUGUGCCAGACCCUCGCUUUGCCUUGCUGGCACCGAGGAAUGAGUAUGUGAUUCAUUUCUGGUCCAUGAGAUAUAAGGGGAAAUGGUUUGUAUCUUUGAAGAAAUCUGUCUAAUUCAUUUAAGUUGUCAGAUUUAUUGGCAUAAAGUUGUUCACAAUUAUUUCCUUAAUAUCAUUAAUGUGAGUUCCUUAAUAUCUUUUUAAUGUUUGUAGGGAUGUCCCCUCUUUCAUUCCUGACAUUGCUAAUUUCUGGUUUCUUUUUUCUUAAUCAAGACUUCAAGUUUUGCUUGAGGCUUAUCAAUUUUAUUAAUUUUUCAAAGAAUCAACUUUUGGCUUUGUUUAUUUGUUUCAUUAUUUGUUCUCUAUUUAUGGAGUUCUUCUCUUAAUAAAAUUAACAGACAGCAAAAUAUGGCACUUUUGGGGGGGCAGAUAUUUCUGAGUUUUAGAUUUGUGAAACGACCACCAAAAUCAUGACACAGAAUAGUUCCAUCAUUCUAUAAAACUCCAUCAAGUUGUACUCAUGCCUUCGCCACAUCCCAAUUCAUGGCAACCACAGAUUUGUCAUCUGUCACAAUAGUAUUGACUUGUCCAGAAUGUAAUAAAAAUGGAAUCAUAAAGUAU